rnacentral:tRNA from 1 species
GCAGUGGUGGCUCAGCGGUAGAGGUCUUACCUUCCAUGAGGGAGACCCGGGUUCGAUUCCCAGCCAACGCG